CCUUUCAGCUUAGCAAUAGGUUCACUUAACCGUGAUUAAAAGGGAAUCGGGUGAAAAUCCCGAACAGUCCCGCUGCUGUAAGCAACCUUUUGAGCGAGUGCAAACAAAGAAGUCACUGAACAAGAUGUGUUUGGGAAGACGUUUGCAUUUCGGGUUGUAAAGUCAGAAGACCUGCCAUUGUUUUUAUCUUAACC
rnacentral:ncRNA from 17 species